AUUAGUGGCGGACGGGUGAGUAACGCGUGAGUAACCUGCCUUACACAAGGGGAUAGCCGUUGGAAACGACGAAUAAUACCCUAUGAAACUAUCACUUCGCAUGAAGCGAUAGUCAAAGUGUUAGCGGUGUAAGAUGGACUUGCGUCUGAUUAGCUAGUUGGUAGAGUAAAAGCCUACCAAGGCGACGAUGGGUAGCCGGCCUGAGAGGGUGAACGGCCACAUUGGAACUGAGAAACGGUCCAA
rnacentral:rRNA from 1 species